CCUACGGGUGGCAGCAGUGGGGAAUAUUGCACAAUGGGGGAAACCCUGAUGCAGCGACGCCGCGUGAGUGAAGAAGUAUUUCGGUAUGUAAAGCGCUAUCAGCAGGGAAGAAGAAAGACGGUACCUGACUAAGAAGCAUCGGCUAACUACGGGCCAGCAGCCGCGGCAAUACGGAGGGGGGAAGAGUUAUCCGGAUUUACUGGGUGUAAGGGGAGCGUAGACGGCUGUUAAAGUCUGAAGUGAAAGCCCAGGGCUCAACCCUGGGACUGCAUUUGAAACUGUGGAGCUAGAGUGCUGGAGAGGUAAGUGGAAUUCCUAGUGUAGCGGUGAAAUGCGUAGAUAUUAGGAGGAACACCAGUGGCGAAGGCGGCUUACUGGACGGUAACUGACGUUGAGGCUCGAAAGCGUGGGGAGCAAACAGGAUUAGAUACCCCAGUAGUC
rnacentral:rRNA from 1 species